rnacentral:rRNA from 1 species
GACGAACGCUGGCGGCGUGCUUAAUACAUGCAAGUCAACGACUUUUAGAGUAGCAAUAUUUUAAAGGAAGUGGCGCACGGGUGAGUAACACGUAGGUAAUCUGCCUUCAGGACUGACGCAACUCGUCGAAAGACGGGCUAAUAUCAGAUAAUGCAGCGGCUCCGCAUGGAGACAGUUGUUAAAGUACAAGCGCCUGAAGAUGAGCCUGCGGUCCAUUAGCUAGUUGGUAGAGUAACAGCCUACCAAGGCAACGAUGGAUAGCUGGUCUGAGAGGAUGAUCAGCCACACUGGAACUGAGACACGGUCCAGACUCCUACGGGAGGCAGCAGUAAGGAAUAUUGCUCAAUGGCCGAAAGGCUGAAGCAGCAACGCCGCGUGAAGGAUGAAUGGCCUUUGGCCUGUAAACUUCUGUAAAAAGGGAAAACAGUACAGGUAUAUCCUGA